UACAGAGGGCGCGAGCGUUGUCCGGAAUUAUUGGGCGUAAAGAGCUCGUAGGCGGCUUGUCACGUCGGGUGUGAAAGCCCGGGGCUUAACCCCGAGCCUGCUUCUGAUACGGGCAGACUAGAGGUAUGCAGGGGAGAACGGAAUUCCUGGUGUAGCGGUGAAAUGCGCAGAUAUUAGGAGGAACACCGGUGGCGAAGGCGGUCUCUG
rnacentral:rRNA from 1 species